rnacentral:rRNA from 1 species
UCGAGAAUCUUCGGCAAUGGGCGCAAGCCUGACCGAGCGACGCCGCGUGCGAGAUGAAGGCCUUCGGGUUGUAAAUCGCUGUCAGUGGGGAGGAAAUGCCGGUGGGUUCUCCCAUCGGUUUGACCUAUCCGCAGAGGAAGGACGGGCUAAGUUCGUGCCAGCAGCCGCGGUAAGACGAACCGUCCAAACGUUAUUCGGAAUCACUGGGCUUAAAGGGUGCGUAGGCGGCCCGGAAAGUUGGGUGUGAAAGCCCUCGGCUCAACCGAGGAACAGCGCCCAAAACUGCCGGGCUCGAGGAAGACAGAGGUGAGCGGAACUUAGGGUGGAGCGGUGAAAUGCGUUGAUAUCCUAAGGAACACCAGUAGCGAAAGCGGCUCACUGGGUCUUUUCUGACGCUGAUGCACGAAAGCUAGGGGAGCAAAGA